AUCCAGCUGACGAGUCCCAGAUAGGAUUAAACGCGUGUCCUGGAU
rfam:Schistosoma mattheei strain Denwood, Zambia genome assembly, scaffold: SMTD_scaffold0008177